rnacentral:rRNA from 1 species
GGAUAACCUGCCCUAAGGAAGGGGAUAACCUCGGGAAACUGAGGAUAAUACCCUAUAGGUUACAGACGCUGGAAUGCCCUGUAACCGAAAGUUCCGGCGCCUUAGGAUGGAUCUGCGGCCGAUUAGGUUGUUGUUGGGGUAACGGCCCAACAAGCCGAUAAUCGGUACGGGUUGUGGGAGCAAGAGCCCGGAGUUGGAUUCUGAGACACGAAUCCAGGCCCUACGGGGCGCAGCAGGCGCGAAAACUUUACAAUGCGGGAAACCGUGAUAAGGGAACCUCGAGUGCCUGUAUAUGCAGGCUGUCCAGGUGUCUAAAAAACACCUGAAGAAAGGGCCGGGCAAGUCCGGUGCCAGCCGCCGCGGUAAUACCGGCGGCUCGAGUGGUGGCCACUUUUAUUGGGCUUAAAGCGUUCGUAGCUGGGUUGUUAAGUCUCUUGGGAAAUCUGGCGGCUUAACCGUCAGGCGUCCGAGGGAUACUGGCAAUCUUGGAACCGGGAGAGGUGAGGGGUACUUCGGGGGUAGGAGUGAAAUCCUGUAAUCCUCGAGGGACCACCUGUGGCGAAGGCGCCUCACCAGAACGGCUUCGACAGUGAGGGACGAAAGCUGGGGGAGCAAACCGGAUUAGAUACCCGGGUAGUCCCAGCCCUAAACGAUGCGCGUUAGGUGUAUCGGUGACCACGAGUCACCGAGGUGCCGAAAGGGAAACCGUGAAACGUGCCACCUGGGAAGUACGGCCGCAAGGCUGAAACUUAA